UUUGUUAGAGGCGCGCGCUUUCGAGCUCCGCGCGCCGACCACGGGCAGCGGGUGGGCCCCCUGGCGUCUGGAGCAGCGGCCAGCGCAGAGGACGCAGGCAGAAGGAGGAAGGGCUGGCCGGGGCUCCCGAGCACUCACUGCUCAAGCCUCGCCGCCGCCUCCGCCGCUGCGGGGUGCGCGUCCAUCUGGUUGGGGCUCCUCAUCCCAACACCCUCCCCAACGGCCCGCCGCGCAGCCGCCCGCGGGCGAGUCUGUAGCCUGAUCCUGCGCGGACCCGCCAGAGGCACACCAGGAGAGCAGCGGGCGCGCUCAUAAAGGGCACAGCCGAGGGUACGUGGAUCGCGGUGCGGAGACUGAGGUUAGAAGGCACAGGUGGCGAGAUGAGCCGGGUACCAGCGUUCCUGAGCGCGGCCGAGGUGGAGGAACACCUCCGCAGCUCCAGCCUCCUCAUCCCGCC
rnacentral:lncRNA from 1 species